GGCUGAGCACCGUGGGUCGGCGAGGGCCCGCCAAGGAAGGAGCGACCGACCGAGCCAGGCGCCCUCCGCAGACCUCCGCGCAGCGGCCGCGGGCGCGAGGGGAGGGGUCUGGAGCUCCCUCCGGCUGCCUGUCCCGCACCGGAGCCCGUGGGGUGGGGAGGUGUGCAGCCUGUGACAGACAGGGGCUUAGAGAUGCAAACAGACUCAGGGAGAGAAACAGAAGCUGAUUCUGUGACAGAAGCAGAUCUGUGCAGCACAGAUGCGGUGUGCGUGGGGAGGGGGUCGCCUGGGAGCGCAUUGCGGAGUGCUUGUGUGUGCAGAUUUUUCUCUGGGCUCAGGACUCAUUGUAUGUGGGUCAACACCUUCCUCCGUGACUGUGUUUUUGUUCUGAGCUGAGUUUUUUGGUUUGCCCUUAAAAAAAUAAUAAUUUGGCAUCCAGAGACUGGCAGACUGCCUCAGGGCCUGGACUGCGGAUAUAUUGUGUUCUGCUUGAGGUUUGGGGAGGAGGGCAGGCGGUAGGAAGGGAGAGGGGGAGCUGUUUGUCACACUUUGCUGUAGAGCUGAGAGCACCUGACAAGCUUAAGGAAGUCGUUGGGCUAUGUGGACAAGAAGGAGCCAGCUCCCAGCGGGUUCACAAGCUCUAUCGGAGUUGAAAGCGUGGUCAUGGCUCUAAGGAGCACCUCACGCCCUCCCUGUAGCUGUUAUUGCAGUUUCAGGCAGAGAUCCAGGAGCUGCAGAGGAAGGGAGAGGCACAAUAACCUACAUGGACCCAAGGGAGACAUGUGUUCCUUUAAAAAUGUGAACAGAAGGAAAAACAGAAUGUGUGCAACUGGGGGUCUGAGGAAAGACUGUUUUGAAAGAGGCUGUCAGGGAAUGGAAAGGGUUAAGCUUUUCAUCCUGAAGAACCUGCUUCCCAAAUCAGGCCUUCCUCCCAUCACUAGACCCUGAGCAGCAGCUGGUCCUAGAGACCCCCCUCGUACUGCGCUGCCACAGUCUCAUCCCAUUUCCAGCUCUGUAUUAACCACCAAGCUGCAGCGGAUGGGGCAAGACCUAAGCUCAUUAAUUUCCAGGUGGAGGAAAUGGAGGAGGGGCAGGUCCCUGCAGUAGAGGGAGGAGCAGAGAAAGGAGGCCAAGAGCUGGAUCCUUCUGCCCAGGAAGCCUGCUGCAUCCCUUCCCCCGAGCAUGGCAGAGGCCUGGCUUUGCAAGGCCAAGGCCAUAAGGGAUGCUUAGGAGAUUAAUUUGAUUCCUGACACAAUAAUCAAGCCCUAAGAGUCUCCACUGAAGCUUACUGAGGACUUCUUUCCUCUCCAAAGCCUCAGUCUAGCCUGCUAAAUAAAUUAGUAUUCAGUGAUGCCUUGGAUCAGGGCCCCUCCCCGGCCUCAGUUUCCCCAAAUAUUUAUUAAGUACCUACUGUGUGCAAUCCUUGUGUAAUUAUUAACUCUUAGGCUCUUCAUUUGCCCUCCUAAAGCAGUGUUUAGAGUCAGGCAGAGGUUAAGUGUGUUGCACCUCACCUAGAUACUUCCAGAACCUUCUCUGGGUCUGCAGAAUGUGGCACAACCUGCUUGCCCCCGCAGAGAGAAAGCUGCAGUGCACAUCCUGCAGACUGCAGGUGCUGGGCUGCCUCUGGAGUCCCAGAAGGCAAGCUUGGCUGCAGGACAGAAAGGGAGAACAGCUUCUCUCACCCCUGAGCCUUCACAAGCCCUUGUCUAUUUGCCGUUGCCUUCAAAAUAUACCUCCCCCGAAACCAGUAGCUUUCUGAGUCCUGGUGUCCCCUCCGCCCUUUCUGGACAGGUUUGGGAAGAAGAAAGCAGUCAGUGCUGGGCCUUAUUGGGGUGUGAAGCGCCUUGCUCUGCCCCUUCUGCUCACUGUGAAGGCCGCUGGAUGCUUCUCUUAGGCAUGGUUUAAGCCUCCGAUUACUAAACCCCUUGCCCCACAAACGUCCACAUUGACGAGCCUCUUUUUAGUAACUGCUUCCCCGUAAUUCCUUCAGAGGUUGCUGUACCCUUCGCUGAUGUGCUGCCCUCCUGUAAAACCUCCAGAUGCCUUCCCACGUAAUGCCCCUUUCAGAUGCUUUAAGCUGAGAGCUUAAACCACAGGUACCAUGGCUGACGCCUGCCAGGUUUCUGCUGCAGAUAAUCUAUGAUGGGAGGGGCAUAUUUUUUACUUCAUUACUUAUGUAAACUCUUGUUCCAGAAAGCUUUAAUGUGUGUGGGAGUGUUCUGGGUCUAUUAGGUCUGUGCGCAUGGGUGUGGGCAUUUGCCUGUGUCCACCGGGUGGGUCUCAUUAUGAAAUGUAUGUUUAUGUAGGGCUUUAAUGGCUGAAAAUGGCAAAGAGAUGAAUAGACCACUUGGCCCCAUGUGUAAUUGCCAGGCCCCUUCUGUGCUCAAAUGAGGUGUCCGAGUGAAGGUCAGCCCUUCCCUUCUGUAUUUGGGGCCUAUUUAUGCCACCAGUAAUUUUAUAAGAAAUCUGAAUAGUUCUCCCCUUUGAGUGCAUUUAACUCUUUAGUAUCUUCUCUCUUACCUAUUUGAGCCCCUCUAGCUACAGUCUGGCUUAAAUGAAAGGGGAAUUAUAUGCUUAAGAAAAAGUAGGACACGGUUGAGGCAGUUUGCUGACUGAAUACGCGAAGAAGGACCUGAUGGGCUCAUAUGCACCACUGCCAUCACAGUCCCCAUCGUGAUGCAAGCUUAUAUGAUUCUUGAGAAACAGCCCAGAUCUCCUCUUAAGCGGAAAAGAGAUUGACCUUCUAGCAGAGGCAAAGCAGUUCCGUAACAACCUGCGCAGUGUCGGCAUCAGAACCGAAUGCAGAGAAAACAAAACGUCAGAGCCGCUGGCUUGGACUGCGGCCCCUACAGAUGAAGCCCGAGCCUUCUACUCCUACCUCAGCAUCUUGCCGCCUUCAUGUGGACAAUUAAUCAACAGCAACAGCAUAGUGUGAAGUAGAGAUAGAGUCUUGAUAUGUUCCCCAGGCUGCUCUGGAAUUCUUGGACUCAAGCAAUCCUCCUGACUUGGCCUCCCAAAGUGCUGGGAUUACAGGCUCCUAUUCCAAAUCGGAUGAAGCACUGAAAACAAAGCACUUUCACAUCCUUCACCCUGAUCUGUAGCAUAUUCUUCAGAACUCUUAUGAUUUCAAGUGACAGAAACCCAAUCUGAACCAGCUGAAACACUCAGAGGCAUUUAGUAUCUCAUGGAACCCAGUGCCCCAGGGACAGGCGGAAACGCUGACUUGAACAUCUCUUUCUGAGUUUCUCAUCUCAGCGCCUCUCUGCAGAUGUUGAAAUCUUCUUUUUUUCUGCUAACUGGCCUCUGCUUCCCAGGUUCACAGCAAGAAACAUGGCCAUUGGGAUGUCCCAAGCUUUGCAUUUUAUAGCCCAGCUUAGGUCAGGUGGCCACCCCUGUGCCAGUCAACUUGACCGAAUGGAUGGAAAACCUCAACUGAUCAAGCUGGAGUUAAGUGCAUGCAGGGAGCACCUAUGGUAACUGCGGAUGGCAGGGAGGGCAGCCACCUAGAAAAAGGUACUGCUGGCCAGGUAAGACCACAGGUAUCCACAACUACCACCAAUCUGCUGUGAACAGUUCCUCUGAAGUUGUGCAAUAAGCAAGCCGUGUGAUGCUGGUCUUGGUAGAAUAUCUUAUUUCUAAACUCCAAACCAUCAGAUUGGCCUCUACCUCCCCAUUUGCCCUCCUCAGAAGAUCUUGACACCCAAGUUCACCCCAUCCUCUGGAGUCCUGUGGUUUGAAAUACUGACCAUUUGUCCCAAUCCUGGAGCCAAGGUCCCAGCAUGCUCUGUGUCCAAGUUCAGAUUACCACAAAAGCUGGUUGUGAAGACCACAAGUUGUUACCUAUUUGUUUUUUAACCAGUUGUAUAUACAACAUUUGGUGCUUUUCACAACACCACACUACCUCUGUCUUACUGUACUGUUUCUCUCCCUAGCAAGCUACCAACAUUUCCUCUCUCCUCCCUAAAACAUGAAAAAAGGAGAGAGAGAGAGAGAGAGAGACGCAGGUAAUGCCUAUACUCUCAUCUCCUAAGGGGUCCUUGAGACAAUGGAUUCCAAAGAGCAGUUUGGAACAUGAAGAAAACCCCAAUGGGGAGGCCCUGCUCCCAAGUCUCACUAAUUCUGGAUUUAAUUCUCCCCUGUGGGCCAGGUGGUGAAUUAGUGGCCCUCCCACCCUACCUUCUGUUUUCUAUGAUCUCGUCUCAUCUAAUAAAGGCUCCAGAUCUGAAAGUCUCUGAGACCAGAACCUUAGUCCAAUUAAACCCUGCUAAAGCAAACAAACUUGGGAAAGACAAAGAGGUGAAGAGGUUAACAGCAGACAAAACCUCCACUGACAAGCUAAAUUAGCCUUGCCCACCUCAGGAGAAGGUGUAAGGUGGACAGCGGAGACUGCUGGUAGUGAUUAACAUUUGCUCGAAAUUCUAAGGAGCUAAUUUUUUUUCCAAGUUAAAUGUUAACCUGUGAAAAGAGGAACAGUAACUAUGCGAAGAGGAAUGUGAAGAAGAAAACAGAAAGACCAGCCUGCUGGGUGGAUGUCUUCCUCCCAAAGUAGUCGAGACCAGGGAUUCUGAGGAAUAGUUUUCCAUUUAUCCUUCAUCAUCUCCAUUCAACAGGGCCGCUGAGCUCCAGAUGAGCAUGGAAAGAUGGAGGAGCUGCCAAACCUGACUUUGGAGGCCCUGGUCAGGAGCCCGUUGGAGGCCUUCCAGUUUUACACCCUUUGUGAAUUUGUCCGUGGGGUGGGUUUGUUCUGAUGCCAUGAGUAGCUUCCACUGGAAAAGGCACCAUCUCCACCCAACAUUUUAGGUAUGCUGGUGCAUUGGGAGGACAUUCUUGGUGCCAAUAAUCGUCUGAAGAUUCUUUGCUAUCCUUUGGUAGAGGCUCUAUUUACCACAAUGAAGAGUAGAAAGAUUAUGAUGUGAGUGUGUUUUGGUGUGUGUGUGUGUGUGUGUGUAUGUGUGUGACUAUUAGUGAAAACUGCUAGUAGUAUGUCAGUGUGGAGAGAAAUUCAGUCCUCCCGCAAGUGGUGAGGCUCAAUAUUAAGGGACAGAACAUCAGUGAGCACCACAUUAAGGCACUAUUCUCGACAUCUGGGAAGAAGCAAAGAAAAAUGUGUCAUGCCUCUUACCUUUUAGGGACUUAUAAUACAGGAAAGAGAAGACUUGUAUAAAUGGCUAAAAAUAUACUGAGGAGUAUAACUAAUAACUAAUGCAGAGUGUGCUGGUAAAAGGUUGUGUGGGUUCAGGAAUGUCAAAAGUUGCAGCUGCUGUGAAAGCCAAUAUGGCGGGUCCUCAAAAAAUUAAAUGUAGAAUUACCAUAUGACUCGGCAACUCCACUUCCGGGUAUGUUCUUAAAACGAUUGAAAGCAGAGACUCAGACAGAUAAUUGCACACCCAUGUUCACAGCAGCAUUAUUCACAAUCGCCAAAAUGUGGAAGCAACCCAAGUGUCCACUGGCCAAUGAAUGAAUGAGUAAAACAUGCUAUGUAUCAACAGUAGAAUAUUAUUCAACCUUAAAAGGAAACAAAUUCUGGUACGUGUUACAACAUAGAUGAACCUUGAGUGGAAGAAGAAAACAGAAAGAGCAGUCCGCUGGGUGGAUGUCUUCUUCCCAAAGUAGUUGGGAUCAGGAAUGCUGAGAAACAAUUCCCCAUUCAUCCUUCAACAUCUCCAUUCAACAGGGCCACUGAGCUCCAGGAUGAGCAUGGAAGGAUGGAGGAGCUGCCAAGCUUGACCUUGGGGACCCAGGUCAGGAGCCUUCUGGAGACCUUCCAGUUUUAUGCCCUUCGUGAAUUUGUUUGUGGGAUGAACUCUAUGAAGUGAACUAAACCAAUCACACACAAAAAAUAAAACUGUAUGAUUCCACUUAUAUGAGGCACCUAGUCAAAUUCAG
rnacentral:lncRNA from 1 species